AUUCAGCUGACGAGUCCCAAAUAGGACAAAACGCACAGCCUGGAU
rnacentral:hammerhead_ribozyme from 1 species